rnacentral:hammerhead_ribozyme from 1 species
AUCCAACUGAUGAGUCCCAAAUAGGACGAAACGUGCGUCCUGGAU